rnacentral:rRNA from 1 species
GAUGAACGCUGGCGGCGUGCCUAAUACAUGCAAGUCGAGCGAACGGACGAGAAGCUUGCUUCUCUGAUGUUAGUGGCGGACGGGUGAGUAACACGUGGAUAACCUACCUAUAAGACUGGGAUAACUUCGGGAAACCGGAGCUAAUACCGGAUAAUAUUUUGAACCGCAUGGUUCAAAAGUGGAAGACGGUCUUGCUGUCACUUAUAGAUGGAUCCGCGCUGCAUUAGCUAGUUGGUAAGGUAACGGCUUACCAAGGCAACGAUGCAUAGCCGACCUGAGAGGGUGAUCGGCCACACUGGAACUGAGACACGGUCCAGACUCCUACGGGAGGCAGCAGUAGGGAAUCUUCCGCAAUGGGCGAAAGCCUGACGGAGCAACGCCGCGUGAGUGAUGAAGGUCUUCGGAUCGUAAAACUCUGUUAUUAGGGAAGAACAUAUGUGUAAGUAACUGUGCACAUCUUGACGGUACCUAAUCAGAAAGCCACGGCUAACUACGUG